AAUUGGAGGGCAAGUCUGGUGCCAGCAGCCGCGGUAAUUCCAGCUCCAAUAGCGUAUAUUAAAGUUGUUGCAGUUAAAAAGCUCGUAGUUGAAUUUCGGGGUUCUACUGUUGGUCGGGCAAUUGUCUGUACUGGCAUGUGGAAUUUCUACCUUCUGGGGAACCAUCAUGUUAUUAAUUUAGCGUGGUGGGAAACCAGGACCUUUACCUUGAAAAAAUUAGAGUGUUCAAAGCAGGCUUACGUCUGAAUACAUUAGCAUGGAAUAAUAAAAUAGGACGGUGGUCCUGUUUUGUUGGUUUCUGAAUCACCGUAAUGAUUAAUAGGGAUAGUUGGGGGCAUUAGUAUUCAAUUGUCAGAGGUGAAAUUCUUGGAUUUAUUGAAGACUAACUUCUGCGAAAGCAUUUGCCAAGGAUGUUUUCAUUAAUCAAGAACGAAAGUUAGGGGAUCGAAGACGAUCAGAUACCGUCGUAGUCUUAACCAUAAACUAUGCCGACUAGGGAUCGGACGAUGUUAAAUUUUCUUGACUCGUUCGGCGCCUUACGGGAAACCAAAGUGU
rnacentral:rRNA from 1 species